rnacentral:rRNA from 1 species
AACGAACGCUGGCGGCAUGCCUAACACAUGCAAGUCGAACGAGACCUUCGGGUCUAGUGGCGCACGGGUGCGUAACGCGUGGGAACCUGCCCUUAGGUUCGGAAUAACUCCCCGAAAGGGGUGCUAAUACCGGAUAAUGUCUUCGGACCAAAGAUUUAUCGCCUUUGGAUGGGCCCGCGUUGGAUUAGCUAGUUGGUAGGGUAAAAGCCUACCAAGGCGACGAUCCAUAGCUGGUCUGAGAGGAUGAUCAGCCAAACUGGGACUGAGACACGGCCCAGACUCCUACGGGAGGCAGCAGUGGGGAAUAUUGGACAAUGGGCGAAAGCCUGAUCCAGCAGUGCCGCGUGAGUGAUGAAGGCCUUAGGGUUGUAAAGCUCUUUUACCCGGGAUGAUAAUGACAGUACCGGGAGAAUAAGCUCCGGCUAACUCCGU